rnacentral:rRNA from 1 species
CAGUAGCCGCGGGAACACGGAGGGUGCAAGCGUUAAUCGGAAUUACUGGGCGUAAAGCGCACGCAGGCGGUUUGUUAAGUCAGAUGUGAAAUCCCCGGGCUCAACCUGGGACCUGCAUUUGUGACUGUAUAGCUAGAGUACGGUAGAGGGGGAUGGAAUUCCGCGUGUAGCAGUGAAAUGCGUAGAUAUGCGGAGGAACACCGAUGGCGAAGGCAACCCCCUGGACCUGUACUGACGCUCAUGCACGAAAGCGUGGGGAGCAAACAGGAUUAGAGACCCGGGUAGUCCCUGUCUCUUAUAC